rnacentral:rRNA from 1 species
ACUGAGAGGUUGAACGGCCACAUUGGGACUGAGACACGGCCCAGACUCCUACGGGAGGCAGCAGUGGGGAAUAUUGCACAAUGGGGGAAACCCUGAUGCAGCGACGCCGCGUGGAGGAAGAAGGUCUUCGGAUUGUAAACUCCUGUUGUUGAGGAAGAUAAUGACGGUACUCAACAAGGAAGUGACGGCUAACUACGUGCCAGCAGCCGCGGUAAAACGUAGGUCACAAGCGUUGUCCGGAAUUACUGGGUGUAAAGGGAGCGCAGGCGGGCGAUCAAGUUGGAAGUGAAAUCCAUGGGCUCAACCCAUGAACUGCUUUCAAAACUGAUUGUCUUGAGUAGUGCAGUGGUAGGCGGAAUUCCCGGUGUAGCGGUGGAAUGCGUAGAUAUCGGGAGGAACACCAGUGGCGAAGGCGGCCUACUGGGCACCAACUGACGCUGAGGCUCGAAAGUGUGGGUAGCAAACAGGAUUAGAUACCCUGGUAGUCCACACCGUAAACGAUGAUUACUAGGUGUUGGAGGAUUGACCCCUUCAGUGCCGCAGUUAACACAAUAAGUAAUCCACCUGGGGAGUACGACCGCAAGGUUGAAACUCAAAGGAAUUGACGGGGGCCCGCACAAGCAGUGGAGUAUGUGGUUUAAUUCGACGCAACGCGAAGAACCUUACCAAGUCUUGACAUCCUGCGACGAUGCUAGAAAUAGUAUUUUCCUUCGGGACGCAGAGACAGGUGGUGCAUGGUUGUCGUCAGCUCGUGUCGUGAGAUGUUGGGUUAAGUCCCGCAACGAGCGCAACCCUUAUGGUCAGUUACUACGCAAGAGGACUCUGGCCAGACUGCCGUUGACAAAACGGAGGAAGGUGGGGAUGACGUCAAAUCAUCAUGCCCUUUAUGACUUGGGCUACACACGUACUACAAUGGCGUUAAACAAAGAGAAGCAAGACCGCGAGGUGGAGCAAAACUCAGAAACAACGUCCCAGUUCGGACUGCAGGCUGCAACUCGCCUGCACGAAGUCGGAAUUGCUAGUAAUCGUGGAUCAGCAUGCCACGGUGAAUACGUUCCCGGGCCUUGUACACACCGCCCGUCACACCAUGAGAGCCGGGGGGACCCGAAGUCGGUAGUCUAACCGCAAGGAGGACGCCGCCGAAGGUAAAACUGGUGAUUGGGGUGAAGUCGAACAAGGUAGCCGUAGGAGAACCUGCGGCUG